rnacentral:rRNA from 1 species
AGAGUGAACGCUGGCGGUAGGCCUAACACAUGCAAGUCGAACGGCAGCACGGUAAGAGCUUGCUCUUAUGGGUGGCGAGUGGCGGACGGGUGAGGAAUACAUCGGAAUCUACCUUUUGGUGGGGGAUAACGUAGGGAAACUUACGCUAAUACCGCAUACGCCCUUCGGGGGAAAGCCGGGGACCAGCAAUGGCCUGGUGCUGAUAGAUGAGCCGAUGUCGGAUUAGCUAGUUGGUGAGGUAAUGGCUCACCAAGGCGACGAUCCGUAGCUGGUCUGAGAGGAUGAUCAGCCACACUGGAACUGAGACACGGUCCAGACUCCUACGGGAGCAGCAGGUGGGGAAUAUUGGAACAAGUGGGCGCAAGCCUAGACU